AUUGAACGCUGGCGGCAUGCUUUACACAUGCAAGUCGAACGGUAACAGGGAGCUUGCUCCGCUGACGAGUGGCGAACGGGUGAGUAAUAUAUCGGAACGUACCCAAGAGUGGGGGAUAACGUAGCGAAAGUUACGCUAAUACCGCAUACGAUCUAUGGAUGAAAGCAGGGGACCUUCGGGCCUUGUGCUCCUGGAGCGGCCGAUAUCAGAUUAGCUGGUUGGUGAGGUAAAGGCUCACCAAGGCGACGAUCAGUAGCUGGUCUGAGAGGACGACCAGCCACACUGGAACUGAGACACGGUCCAGACUCCUACGGGAGGCAGCAGUGGGGAAUUUUGGACAAUGGGCGCAAGCCUGAUCCAGCAAUGCCGCGUGAGUGAAGAAGGCCUUCGGGUUGUAAAGCUCUUUUGUCAGGGAAGAAACGGCUGUGGCUAAUAUCCACGGCUAAUGACGGUACCUGAAGAAUAAGCACCGGCUAACUACGUGCCAGCCGCCGCAGUAA
rnacentral:rRNA from 1 species